rnacentral:tRNA from 1 species
AGGGUUUGUAGUCCGCCGUGGCGGGGGCGACGGCUUGAGUUUGGCCGAGGGUAUCGACCUCAACGACCCAGGGCGUGAUCGUUCCGCGCGCCCCCUGCCA